rnacentral:piRNA from 1 species
UGAACGGCGUGCCCUUUGGAUACUGAGUGU